rnacentral:rRNA from 1 species
CAGCAGCCGCGGUAAUACGUAGGGUGCAAGCGUUGUUCGGAUUUAUUGGGCGUAAAGGGUCCGCAGGGGGUUAAUUAAGUCUGAUGUGAAAUCUCACGGCUCAACCGUGAAACUGCAUUGGAAACUGAUAAACUAGAGUACUGGAGAGGUAAGUGGAAUUCCUGGUGGAGCGGUGGAAUGCGUAGAUAUCAGGAGGAACACCAAGAGCGAAGGCAACUUACUGGACAGGUACUGACCCUCAGGGACGAAAGCAUGGGUAGCAAACAGGAUUAGAUACCCUGGUAGUCCAUGCCGUAAACGUUGUAUACUAGGUGUGGGAGGAUUUAUCCCCUUCCGUGCCCAAGCUAACGCGAUAAGUAUACCGCCUGGGGACUACGGCCGCAAGGCUAAAACUCAAAGGAAUUGACGGGGACCCGCACAAGCGGUGGAGCAUGUGGCUUAAUUCGAGGCAACGCGAAGAACCUUACCUGGGUUUGACAUAUAUUGGACCGCUCUAGAGAUAGAGCUUUUCUUCGGAACUGAUAUACAGGUGCUGCAUGGCUGUCGUCAGCUCGUGUCGUGAGAUGUUCGGUUAAGUCCGGCAACGAGCGCAACCCAUGUCGUUAAUUGCAAACAGUUCGGCUGUGCACUAUAGCGAGACUGCCCGUGUCAAGCCGGAGGAAGGCGUGGACGACGUCAAGUCCGUAUGGCCCUUAUGCCCAGGGCUGCACACGUGCCACAAUGGUUGGAACAAUGGGAUGCAAUGUCGCGAGGCGGAGCAAAUCCUCAACACCAGCCCCAGUUCGGAUUGGAGUCUGCAACUCGACUCCAUGAAGUCGGAAUCGCUAGUAAAGGCGUAUCAGCAAUGACGCCUUGAAUACGUUCCCGGGUCUUGUACACACCGCCCGUCACAUCAUGGAAGCUGAUUGCACCCGAAGUCAUUGACCCAACUCUUUACUGAGAGGGAGAUGCCGAAGGUGUGGUUAGUAACUGGGAUGAAGUCGUAACAAGGUAACCGUA